rnacentral:rRNA from 1 species
GUCUUUUAGAUGACGAAGUGGUUGAUGCCAUGCUUCCAAGAAAAGCUUCUAAGCUUCAGGUAACCAGGAACCGUACCCCAAACCGACACAGGUGGUCGGGUAGAGAAUACCAAGGCGCUUGAGAGAACUCGGGUGAAGGAACUAGGCAAAAUGGCACCGUAACUUCGGGAGAAGGUGCGCCGGCUAGGGUGAAGGAUUUACUCCGUAAGCUCUGGCUGGUCGAAGAUACCAGGCCGCUGCGACUGUUUAUUAAAAACACAGCACUCUGCAAACACGAAAGUGGACGUAUAGGGUGUGACGCCUGCCCGGUGCCGGAAGGUUAAUUGAUGGGGUUAGCGCAAGCGAAGCUCUUGAUCGAAGCCCCGGUAAACGGCGGCCGUAACUAUAACGGUCCUAAGGUAGCGAAAUUCCUUGUCGGGUAAGUUCCGACCUGCACGAAUGGCGUAACGAUGGCGGCGCUGUCUCCACCCGAGACUCAGUGAAAUUGAAAUCGCUGUGAAGAUGCAGUGUAUCCGCGGCUAGACGGAAAGACCCCGUGAACCUUUACUGUAGCUUUGCACUGGACUUUGAGCCUGCUUGUGUAGGAUAGGUGGGAGGCUUUGAAGCGUGGACGCCAGUUCGCGUGGAGCCAUCCUUGAAAUACCACCCUGGCAUGCUUGAGGUUCUAACUCUGGUCCGUGAUCCGGAUCGAGGACAGUGUAUGGUGGGCAGUUUGACUGGGGCGGUCUCCUCCUAAAGAGUAACGGAGGAGUACGAAGGUGCGCUCAGACCGGUCGGAAAUCGGUCGCAGAGUAUAAAGGCAAAAGCGCGCUUGACUGCGAGACAGACACGUCGAGCAGGUACGAAAGUAGGUCUUAGUGAUCCGGUGGUUCUGUAUGGAAGGGCCAUCGCUCAACGGAUAAAAGGUACUCCGGGGAUAACAGGCUGAUACCGCCCAAGAGUUCAUAUCGACGGCGGUGUUUGGCACCUCGAUGUCGGCUCAUCACAUCCUGGGGCUGAAGCCGGUCCCAAGGGUAUGGCUGUUCGCCAUUUAAAGUGGUACGCGAGCUGGGUUUAGAACGUCGUGAGACAGUUCGGUCCCUAUCUGCCGUGGACGUUUGAGAUUUGAGAGGGGCUGCUCCUAGUACGAGAGGACCGGAGUGGACGAACCUCUGGUGUUCCGGUUGUCACGCCAGUGGCAUUGCCGGGUAGCUAUGUUCGGAAAAGAUAACCGCUGAAAGCAUCUAAGCGGGAAACUUGCCUCAAGAUGAGAUCUCACUGGGAACUUGAUUCCCCUGAAGGGCCGUCGAAGACUACGACGUUGAUAGGCUGGGUGUGUAAGCGUUGUGAGGCGUUGAGCUAACCAGUACUAAUUGCCCGUGAGGCUUGACCA